rnacentral:rRNA from 1 species
UACGGGGGGGGCAAGCGUUGUUCGGAAUUACUGGGCGUAAAGGGCGCGUAGGCGGCCUAUUAAGUCGGAUGUGAAAUCCCUCGGCUCAACCGGGGAACUGCGUCCGAUACUGGCAGGCUUGAAUCCGGGAGAGGGAUGUGGAAUUCCAGGUGUAGCGGUGAAAUGCGUAGAUAUCUGGAGGAACACCGGUGGCGAAGGCGGCAUCCUGGACCGGUAUUGACGCUGAGGCGCGAAAGCUAGGGGAGCAAACGGG